rnacentral:rRNA from 1 species
AGAACGAACGCUGGCGGCAGGCUUAACACAUGCAAGUCGAACGCCCCGCAAGGGGAGUGGCAGACGGGUGAGUAACGCGUGGGAAUCUACCUGGUUCUACGGAAUAACUGAGGGAAACUUCAGCUAAUACCGUAUACGCCCUAAGGGGGAAAGAUUUAUCGGUGCCAGAUGAGCCCGCGUUGGAUUAGCUAGUUGGUGGGGUAAUGGCCUACCAAGGCGACGAUCCAUAGCUGGUCUGAGAGGAUGAUCAGCCACACUGGGACUGAGACACGGCCCAGACUCCUACGGGAGGCAGCAGUGGGGAAUAUUGGACAAUGGGCGAAAGCCUGAUCCAGCCAUGCCGCGUGAGUGAUGAAGGCCUUAGGGUUGUAAAGCUCUUUCAGUGGGGAAGAUAAUGACGGUACCCACAGAAGAAGCCCCGGCUAACUUCGUGCCAGCAGCCGC